GGGAUAUUAGCUCAGUUGGUAGAGCACUUGACUUUUAAUCAAGUUGUCCGGGGUUCGAANNUCGAAUCCCG
rnacentral:tRNA from 1 species